UUUUUCUUGACUUUUUUUCAAGUUAUAGGUGGAAGCAAAGUGGGACAAAAUGUCAGCUAGUGCGGGAAAAAUAUGUAGAAGCAUGAUAUGGUGUUGCCUUCAUGUCCAUUAUUCCCUGGACCUGUCAAAUAUGAUGCAAAACAGAUGGCAGAGGCAACACAGUGCCAUGGGAGAGCUUUUGAUGUUUGGUGCCAAUUUUCAUGGCAAAACUGUCCAAUCACCUUGUGAGCAGGCACAAUGCUAUAGCAACAGAUGAGGAGGAGUAAGUUGGAAACCAGUGCUUAUUAUGAACUAUUCAUGGUCAGCAAAGCAAUAUACUCAGUGCCUGGUGUCCUGCUGCUGUAUGAAUGAUUUCUAGAAUCUGUGGCCAGGUUUCAUUCAGCUACUAAGAAGAAACUGGAACUGAAAAUGGAAAUGGAAAAGGGAAAAAUAAAUCAUUCAGUAACUAGCUGAA